ACAUUCACAGCCCUGGGAGAUGGGCCUGUGCAUGGUUCAGUCCAGCUGAGUCCAGUCUCUCACUCAGGAAUCUGAGUUACUCUCUGGCAGUCCCCUAUCAUGGAGCGGUGUGUCUGGAGUCCUUGUUUGCUGUGUCGCUCUCAACAACACAUAAGAAGGCAUUUCCUAAACAAGAUGAUUUAGCUUAGGUUUGUUGCAGUAGGGGGUUGUUGUUUGAACCGGAUCUCAUACCCCAGGCUGGCCUCAAACUUGCUUUGCAACUGAGUGUCCUUGAAUGGCCUUGCUAUCUGCACUUCCCAACAGCCGGGUCUGCAGCUAUGUGCCACCAUGCCCAGCCUAAUUUAUUUAUGCUUUUGGAAACAACAUACUUGUGUGGUUAUUAGAAUUGUAUGCUAUGGCCAUAUGCAAUUAAUUUCAUGGCCAGCCAGUGUUUGCAGGUUUUUUUAUUAUUAUUAUAGGCUGAGCUAGAUAUACUUACAAAUUUUAAUUUCCUUAAAUAAAUUUCCCUCAAAUUCCAA
rnacentral:lncRNA from 1 species